GAUGAACGCUGGCGGCGUGCUUAACACAUGCAAGUCGAACGAAGCACUUUUAUUUGAUUUCUUCGGAAUGAAGAUUUUAGUGACUGAGUGGCGGACGGGUGAGUAACGCGUGGGUAACCUGCCUCAUACAGGGGGAUAACAGUUAGAAAUGACCGCUAAUACCGCAUAAGACCACAGCACCGCAUGGUGCAGGGGUAAAAACUCCGGUGGUAUGAGAUGGACCCGCGUCUGAUUAGGUAGUUGGUGGGGUAACGGCCUACCAAGCCGACGAUCAGUAGCCGACCUGAGAGGGUGACCGGCCACAUUGGGACUGAGACACGGCCCAAACUCCUACGGGAGGCAGCAGUGGGGAAUAUUGCACAAUGGGGGAAACCCUGAUGCAGCGACGCCGCGUGAGCGAUGAAGUAUUUCGGUAUGUAAAGCUCUAUCAGCAGGGAAGAAAAUGACGGUACCUGACUAAGAAGCACCGGCUAAAUACGUGCCAGCAGCCGCCGUAA
rnacentral:rRNA from 1 species